AGCAGGUCACAAGACUGGGUAUUGAAUUCCACAGUUUGCUGCAACUUUACAAAGCUAAACCAUAGGAGGUCUCUUUCGUGGACACUUUUAUCAAGUGGGGAUCCAUUCUAUGACUGCCUUGGUCUACCUGCCAUCAGUUCUCGCUAUGUGACCAGCCCAUUUCCACUUCAAUUCUUUUACUCUCUUGAUGAUAUUGUACACUUUCAUUUGUUCUCUAGUCCAUGUGCAGGUCUUUCUAUCUUGUCUUGUAAUGCCGAGCAUGAUGAAACAUAGAAUGACACACCAGUUGGGGUUGCUGGAAAUGUAUGUCCCAACACAGCUGGAGGAUAUCAGGAUGGAAAAUGUUUCUGCAGAUCUUUGAACAGCCAGUGCCCAGGAGAAAGAGUAGCUUUCCUGUCGGAAGAAAAUGUGUGCCUUUGUGCCAGUGCCUGUGGUUUACUUGGCAGCAGUUUCGGAAGUGGUUUGUCCUUGUGUUUUGCCAAGUGUCACGGCAGUGAACAAGUGCCUAGACCAUUGUUCCUUUUGGAUCCAGAGACAAUAAGCAUAUCAGUAAAUAAAGGAAUUUUGUUAUUA